rnacentral:rRNA from 1 species
AGUGAACGCUGGCGGUGUGCUUAACACAUGCAAGUCGAACGAGAACGGAUUAUAGCUUGCUAUAAUUGUCAGCUAAGUGGCGCACGGGUGAGUAAUGUAUAGGUAAUAUGCCUCUUACUAAGGGAUAACAAUUGGAAACGAUUGCUAAUACCUUAUAUUCCUUUUUAUCAAAAGAUAAAAAGGGAAAGAUUUACUGGUAAGAGAUUAGCCUGUAUUGUAUCAGUUAGUUGGUGGGGUAAUGGCCUACCAAGACGAUGACGCAUAACUGGUUUGAGAGGAUGAUCAGUCACACUGGAACUGAGACACGGUCCAGACUCCUACGGGAGGCAGCAGUGGGGAAUAUUGCACAAUGGACGAAAGUCUGAUGCAGCAACGCCGCGUGGAGGAUGACACAUUUCGGUGCGUAAACUCCUUUUAUAUAAGAAGAUAAUGACGGUAUUAUAUGAAUAAGCACCGGCUAACUCCGUGCCAGCCGCCGCGGUAAGAC